rnacentral:rRNA from 1 species
AAUGGGCGAAAGCCUGAUGCAGCCAUGCCGCGUGUGUGAAGAAGGCCCGAGGGUUGUAAAGCACUUUUAGGAGGAGGAAAGGUAGUAAGUUAAUACCUGCUACUGUGGUUGAAAAAGCACCGGCUAACCUGUGCCAGAAGCCGCGGUAAUACAGAGGGUGCAAGCGUUAUUCGGAAUUCUGGGCGUAAAGCGCGCGUAGGCGGAUUGUUAAGUCAGUUGUGAAAGCCCUGGGCUCAACCUAGGAAUGCGGCAUUGAAACUGGCAGUCUAGAGUUUAGAGAGGGAAGGGAAUUUCUGGAGUAGCAGUGAAAUGCGUAGAUAUCAGAAGGAACAUCAGUGGCGAAGGGCCUUCCUGGACUAAAACUGACGCUGAGGUGCGAAAGCGUGGGAGCAAACGGGAUUAGAUACCCCGGUAGUCCACGCCCUAAACGAUGUAACUAGCUGUUGGUCUUAUUAAAAAGAUUAGUAGCGCAGCUAACGCGAU